GCCUUCUUGGCUCAGAUGGCAGAGCGUCUGCCUAGUAAGCAGAAGGCCACCAGUUCGAUUCUGGUAGAAGGCA
rnacentral:tRNA from 1 species